rnacentral:misc_RNA from 1 species
AACGCACAUUGCGCCUCUUGGUAUUCCGGGAGGCAUGCCCGUUCGAGCGUCAUUACACCCCUCAAGCCUAGCUUGGUCUUGGAGCCUGCAGCGCGCUGCAGCUCCCGAAUUUCCCGGCUGGCUCUGUCGUCUCUCAGCGUUGUGAAAUAUUCGCAGUGAGCGCGCCAGACCCAGCCGUUAAGCCUUCUAAGGUUGACCUCGGAUCGGGUAGGGAUACCCGCUGAACUUAA